rnacentral:rRNA from 1 species
GGAGAAAAGCAGGGGAUCGCAAGACCUUGCGCUCAUUGAGCGGCCGAUGCCUGAUUAGCUAGUCGGUGAGGUAAAGGCUUACCAAGGCGACGAUCAGUAGCUGGUCUGAGAGGACGACCAGCCACACUGGGACUGAGACACGGCCCAGACUCCUACGGGAGGCAGCAGUGGGGAAUUUUGGACAAUGGGGGAAACCCUGAUCCAGCCAUGCCGCGUGAGUGAAGAAGGCCUUCGGGUUGUAAAGCUCUUUCAGCCGGAACGAAACGGUCACGGCUAAUACCUGUGACUACUGACGGUACCGGAAGAAGAAGCACCGGCUAACUACGUGCCAGCAGCCGCGGUAAGACAUAGGGUGCGAGCGUUAAUCGGAAUUACUGGGCGUAAAGCGUGCGCAGGCGGUUUUGUAAG